GAUGAACGCUAGCUACAGGCUUAACACAUGCAAGUCGAGGGGUAGCAGGGUAGCAAUACCGCUGACGACCGGCGCACGGGUGAGUAACACGUAUCCAACCUUCCCAUAACUCGGGGAUAGCCUUUCGAAAGAAAGAUUAAUACCCGAUAGUACUUAAGAGAGGCAUUCUUUUUAAGUUAAAGAUUUAUUGGUUAUGGAUGGGGAUGCGUUCCAUUAGAUAGUUGGUGAGGUAACGGCUCACCAAGUCUUCGAUGGAUAGGGGUUCUGAGAGGAAGGUCCCCCACAUUGGUACUGAGACACGGACCAAACUCCUACGGGAGGCAGCAGUGAGGAAUAUUGGUCAAUGGGCGAGAGCCUGAACCAGCCAAGUAGCGUGAAGGAUGAAGGUCCUAUGGAUUGUAAACUUCUUUUAUAGUAGAAUAAAGUGAUCCACGUGUGGAUUUUUGUAUGUAUACUAUGAAUAAGGAUCGGCUAACUCCGUG
rnacentral:rRNA from 1 species